GAAACGCAUACAAAAUUCGGAACCGUUUUCGCGUCUUCUGUCACUACAAACAAUAUGGCGGAAAGUAAUACCGUCUGUAGAAAUCGUUGGUCCGAACAGGAGGAAACUGUGAUUGCAAACGAAAUAAUCAAGAACCACGAUGCCCCGUUCGGACCAAUGACAGGUUGUGGAGCGCUGAAGAUAGGAGAAGUUAGGCGUAGAGCCUGGGAAGCGGUGGCCAAUUUGCUAAACUGCCAAUUUUCCACCUACAGGCGCACAGGUCCGGAAGUGAAAAAGAAGUAUUAUAAUAUGAAAGACAAGAGUGCUCAAAAGACGUCAUGUUGUGUAUCCCAACUUGCAUCGGUAGAUGAAGCUGGACCAUGUUCGUCAGGGACUA